UGAAUUUUGUCGAACUCCUGGGGAGAAAAAGUUAAAAUAUGGAAGUUUGUCCAUAUUAUUUUUGUCAGAUUUUCAUGAAAGUCCGACACAGGAAAAUUCGCUUUAUAAAUAUGGAAGUUGUGAAACAGAAACUCAUUUGGAAGUACCAGAUCCUAUUCCAAGCACUUCUACUGAAUGCAAUACACCCAAUAUAUAUUCUGAAGUUCAAAUCACAUUAAGGCAGCCAGGUGAAGAAGAGGAUAAUCCAUUUAUUUCAAUACCAGGUACUUCAAGAGAUUGUAUAACCCCAACCGAACAGGUAUAGUUAGUGCGGUAGACUCAAUUACUGAAACUUCAUGAAGAUAUAAAGGUGCUUACUUUAUUUUAAAUAGUAUGUGUAAAUAUUUGUAUUAGACAUGUUUCUAUUAGUAAAAGUGUAGUUUAAACAAAUUUAACAUUUCUUGAAUUUCAAUUUGCA